rnacentral:rRNA from 1 species
UACGAAGGGAGCUAGCGUUGUUCGGAAUCACUGGGCGUAAAGCGCACGUAGGCGGAUUUGCCAGUCAGGGGUGAAAUCCCGGGGCUCAACCUCGGAACUGCCUUUGAUACAGCAAGUCUUGAGUUCGGGAGAGGAUGGUGGAAUUCCCAGUGUAGAGGUGAAAUUCGUAGAUAUUGGGAAGAACACCGAUGGCGAAGGCAGCCAUCUGGACCGACACUGACGCUGAGGCGCGAAAGCGUGGGGAGCAAACAGG